rnacentral:rRNA from 1 species
GUGACCUGCCCCGAAGAGGGGGAUAACCCUGGGAAACUGGGGCUAAUACCCCAUGGGCUGGGCGAUUCGGUUCGUCCAGUAAAGCCGCAAGGCGCUUCGGGAGGGGCCCGCGGCCCAUCAGCUGGUUGGUAGGGUAACGGCCUACCAAGGCGAAGACGGGUAGGGGGCGUGAGAGCGCGGCCCCCCACACUGGCACUGAGACACGGGCCAGACUCCUACGGGAGGCAGCAGUAAGGAAUAUUGCCCAAUGGGCGAAAGCCUGAGGCAGCGACGCCGCGUGGGCGAUGAAGGCCUUCGGGUCGUAAAGCCCUUUUCUGGGGGAAGAGGAAGGACGGUACCUCAGGAAUAAGCGCCGGCGAACUACGUGCCAGCAGCCGCGGUAAAACGUAGGGCGCGAGCGUUAUCCGGAUUCACUGGGCGUAAAGCGCGUUGAGGCGGCUCCGUAAGUUGGGCGUGAAAGCCCCGGGCUCAACCCGGGGAGGCCGUCCAAUACUGCGGGGCUUGAGGGCAGCAGAGGGAGGUGGAAUUCCCGGUGUAGUGGUGAAAUGCGUAGAUAUCGGGAGGAACACCCGUGGCGAAGGCGGCCUCCUGGGCUGCUCCUGACGCUGAAGGCG